GGGCAUGCUGCAGCUGAAGAGAACUUCAGUGUGAGGCAAGAUAAAGACAACUAUUUUCUCCUCACCUGGAUAUCUGCAUAGAAGUGGAAAAAUGGAUAAUAACAUGGAGGCUGUAAUUUGAAGAAAGCUUACCAGUGGUUUAGCUCAGUUCAGCUUCUCUGUUUAAAAGAACAUCUGCCUGAACUGGCCAGUUUCAGACACAUUUGAGGGAGGUGGCAGAUGCCUUUAGGAUACUGGUUUCAAGAAACCCUGGGCCACAGGAAGAAGACCAGUGUUAAGCUUUCUUUGGAGCAUGCUCCUUGUCAGAUACCAAAGAAUUAAACCAUGAGCUCCUGGCCAGCCUACUGGAAGGUUUCACUGAAGAGAAUUGAAUGCUGAUUGAACUGAACAGCUUUAAUUGAAUAAAGCUUGACCUCUAUACACCUGUCAAUUGGAUAGGAGUCACUUACGUCAAUUACUAUUAAAACAGUAAAAAUCAAAGCAAUGUAAUUACA